rnacentral:rRNA from 1 species
AGAGUUUGAUCCUGGCUCAGGAUGAACGCUAGCGGCAGGCUUAACACAUGCAAGUCGAGGGGCAGCAUAAGUAGCAAUACUUGAUGGCGACCGGCGCACGGGUGAGUAACGCGUAUGCAACCUACCUUUAACUGGAGAAUAGCCCGAGGAAACUCGGAUUAAUACUCCAUAAUAUUCUGAGAAGGCAUCUUCUUGGUCUUAAAGCUUCGGCGGUUAAAGAUGGGCAUGCGUGCCAUUAGCUUGUUGGUAAGGUAACGGCUUACCAAGGCUACGAUGGCUAGGGGGUCUUAAAGGAUGAUCCCCCACACUGGUACUGAGACACGGACCAGACUCCUACGGGAGGCAGCAGUGAGGAAUAUUGGUCAAUGGGCGAAAGCCUGAACCAGCCAUGCCGCGUGCAGGACGACGGCCCUACGGGUUGUAAACUGCUUUUAUUUACAAGGAAACCAUCCCACGUGUGGGAAUCUGACCAGUGAAUGAAUAAGCAUCGGCUAACUCCGUGCCAGCAGCCGCGGUAAUACGGAGGAUGCAAGCGUUAUCCGGAUUUAUUAGGUUUAAAGGGUGUGUAGGCGGGGCGGUAAGUCAGUGGUGAAAUCCUACAGCUUAACUGUAGAACUGCCAUUGAAACUAUCGUCCUUGAGUACAGUUGAGGUAGGCGGAAUGUGUAAUGUAGCGGUGAAAUGCUUAGAUAUUACACAGAACACCGAUUGCGUAAGCAGCUUACUAAACUGUUACUGACGCUGAGGCACGAAAGCGUGGGGAGCGAACAGGAUUAGAUACCCUGGUAGUCCACGCCGUAAACGAUGAUCACUCGCUGUAUGCCUUUUGAGGUAUGUGGCUGAGCGAAAGCAUUAAGUGAUCCACCUGGGGAGUACGUCGGCAACGAUGAAACUCAAAGGAAUUGACGGGGGCCCGCACAAGCGGUGGAACAUGUGGUUUAAUUCGAUGAUACGCGAGGAACCUUACCUGGGCUUAAAUGUAGUUCGAUCUCUCGUGAAAACGAGAUUCCUUCGGGCGAAUUACAAGGUGCUGCAUGGCUGUCGUCAGCUCGUGCCGUGAGGUGUCGGGUUAAGUCCCAUAACGAGCGCAACCCCUAUCCUUAGUUGCCAGCGGAUAAUGCCGGGGACUCUAAGGAGACUGCCACCGUAAGGUGUGAGGAAGGUGGGGAUGACGUCAAGUCAGCACGGCCCUUAUGUCCAGGGCUACACACGUGUUACAAUGGCCAGUACAAAGGGCAGCUACUUGGUGACAAGAUGCUAAUCUCAAAAACUGGUCUCAGUUCGGAUCGAAGUCUGCAACUCGACUUCGUGAAGUUGGAAUCGCUAAUCGUAUAUCAGCAACGAUACGGUGAAUACGUUCCCGGGCCUUGUACACACCGCCCGUCAAGCCAUGGAAGCUGGGGGUGCCUGAAGUCGGUGAGCGUAAGCAGCUGCCUAGGGCAAAACUAGUAACUGGGGCUAAGUCGAAACAAGGUA